rnacentral:rRNA from 1 species
UACGAGGGGGGCAAGCGUUGUUCGGAAUUAUUGGGCGUAAAGGGUGCGUAGGCGGUGCGGUAAGUCUGUUGUGAAAUCUCCGGGCUCAACUCGGAGUCUGCAUCAGAAACUGCCGUGCUGGAGUGUGGGAGAGGUGAGUGGAAUUCCCGGUGUAGCGGUGAAAUGCGUAGAGAUCGGGAGGAACACCUGUGGCGAAAGCGGCUCACUGGACCAUAACUGACGCUGAUGCACGAAAGCUGGGGGGAGCAAACAGG